GACUUACACACAUACACAGGCUUCAGCUACUGAGAAUAUGCUGAGGCAGGUUGCUCACCUCAGAUUGUGAUUGAGCUGCAGGAGAAAGAGAGGGAACAGGCAGCAGUGCACACAGCUAGAACCGCCCCCACUCUCUGUCACGCACUCACGGCUCCCCGUUCCGCCCCCAGCUGCUGGUGAUAAGCCAUCUGAGGCGUCACUGCCACACCUGACGUUGGCACAUCUAUUGCCACCUGCAGGAUCAUCCUUGAACUUGUUCAGCUGCCACCAGGAAGAAUUCUGUGGCUUCUCCUUUUAGAGCGUAUAGCCCUUCCUGCCGAAACAUACUUUUGGCCUCCUCCAUGAGCCCUGUUGCCUUUUGAUGUGGCAGAACAUUGCCCACCACUUCUCUGCGGCCCUUUGAUUGUUCCUGUUUAAAAAACAUCAAGACUGUAGGAGUUGGGAGAGGCCAAGGAGAAAGUAGCAUCAUGAGUAUCCGGAACUAGGCAUUUGUGGACUUUGUCUUUUCGGCUGCGUUUUGUUUGCACUGUUGGCUUCUUCGUAGCGGAGUGUGUGCGUCAUGUGACUGGAAUGUGCUGAAAGUCUUCCCUGCAUAGAUGUACAUAUUAUACCUUGCUACAAACUCAUCCUCUGCCAACCACACUGGAAAUGUAAGAACACUGAUACUGGCAGAUAAUGUGGUAUUGGCGGUGGCAUGGUUGCAUUUCUUUGUGAAGAAUGAUGGCUGUUCCAAUCCAGAAUAGUCGGGAUCCAUGAGAUAUAUACACUGUUAGACAGUGCGUAUAACCAUAGAUAUAAUCUAUGCACGGAACUGUACUGGCAAAUUACACCAUAAGAGUCACAUUUAUAUAAUUUAUGGAAAAAUCCUGGAAAUGUUUUCAUUAUCAAUUCAUAUAUGUUGUUCUCUAUACAAAUAAAAUUAUAUAAAAUAAAAUCUUUUAUCAAAUUA